rnacentral:rRNA from 1 species
UACAGAGGGUGCAAGCGUUAAUCGGAAUUACUGGGCGUAAAGCGCACGUAGGCGGAUUUGUAAGUCAGGGGUGAAAUCCCGGGGCUCAACCUCGGAACUGCCUUUGAUACUGCAAAUCUCGAGUCCGGAAGAGGUGAGUGGAAUUCCUAGUGUAGAGGUGAAAUUCGUAGAUAUUAGGAAGAACACCAGUGGCGAAGGCGGCUCACUGGUCCGGUACUGACGCUGAGGUGCGAAAGCGUGGGGAGCAAACAGG